GACGAACGCUGGCGGCGUGCUUAACACAUGCAAGUCGAACGGAAAGGCCCCCACCUUGGUGGGGGUGCUCGAGUGGCGAACGGGUGAGUAACACGUGGGUGAUCUGCCCUGUACUUCGGGAUAAGCUUGGGAAACUGGGUCUAAUACCGGAUAGGACCAUGGUUUAGUGUCUCAUGGUGGAAAAAUUAUUGUUUUGGUGCAGGAUGAGCUCGCGGCCUAUCAGCUUGUUGGUGGGGUAAUGGCCUACCAAGGCGUCGACGGGUAGCCGGCCUGAGAGGGCGGACGGCCACAUUGGGACUGAGAUACGGCCCAGACUCCUACGGGAGGCGGCAGUGGGGAAUAUUGCACAAUGGGCGCAAGCCUGAUGCAGCGACGCCGCGUGGGGGAUGACGGCCUUCGGGUUGUAAACUCCUUUCGUUAGGGACGAAGCCACACCUUUUUUGGGUGUGGUGACGGUACCUUUGUUAAGAAGCACCGGCUAACUACGUG
rnacentral:rRNA from 1 species